UUGUUAGUGUUUAAAAAUGAAACAUCCGAGUUCUGGGAACCAGGUGAUAGAGUGUGUGCUGAGAACGGACUGAGACGG
ensembl:scaRNA